rnacentral:rRNA from 1 species
UACAGAGGGUGCGAGCGUUGUUCGGAAUUAUUGGGCGUAAAGCGCUUGUAGGCGGCACGUCAAGUCGCGUGUGAAAUCCCCAGGCUUAACCUGGGAAGUGCGCGCGAAACUGACGAGCUUGAGUGCCGGAGAGGGUCGCGGAAUUCCCGGUGUAGAGGUGAAAUUCGUAGAUAUCGGGAGGAACACCAGUGGCGAAGGCGGCGACCUGGACGGACACUGACGCUGAGACUCGAAAGCGUGGGGAGCAAACAGG